rnacentral:rRNA from 1 species
GACGAACGCUGGCGGCGUGCCUAAUACGUGCCAGUUGAGCGCUGAAGGUUGGUACUUGUACCAACUGGAUGAGCAGCGAACGGGUGAGUAACGCGUGGGGAAUCUGCCUUUGAGCGGGGGACAACAUUUGGAAACGAAUGCUAAUACCGCAUAAAAACUUUAAACACAAGUUUUAAGUUUGAAAGAUGCAAUUGCAUCACUCAAAGAUGAUCCCGCGUUGUAUUAGCUAGUUGGUGAGGUAAAGGCUCACCAAGGCGAUGAUACAUAGCCGACCUGAGAGGGUGAUCGGCCACAUUGGGACUGAGACACGGCCCAAACUCCUACGGGAGGCAGCAGUAGGGAAUCUUCGGCAAUGGACGAAAGUCUGACCGAGCAACGCCGCGUGAGUGAAGAAGGGUUUCGGAUCGUAAAACUCUGUUGGUAGAGAAGAACGUUGGUGAGAGUGGAAAGCUCAUCAAGUGACGGUAACUACACAGAAAGGGACGGCUAACUACGUG